rnacentral:rRNA from 1 species
AUAUUGGUCAAUGGGUGAGAGCCUGAACCAGCCAUGCCGCGUGCAGGAAGACGGCCUUCUGGGUUGUAAACUGCUUUUACCGGGGGAUAAAAUUCCCAUGCGUGGGACAUUGAAGGUACCCGGUGAAUAAGCCACGGCUAACUACGUGCCAGCAGCCGCGGUAAUACGUAGGUGGCAAGCGUUGUCCGGAUUUAGUGGGUUUAAAGGGUGCGUAGGCGGCCAAUUAAGUCAGUGCUGAAAUAUCCCGGCUUAACCGGGAGGGUGGCAUUGAUACUGGUUGGCUUGAGUGAAGUCGAAGUAGGCGGAAUUGACGGUGUAGCGGUGAAAUGCUUAGAUAUCGUCAAGAACACCGAUAGUGUAGACAGUUUACUAGGCUUUAACUGACGCUGAGGCACGAAAGUGUGGGGAUCAAACAGG